UACGGAGGGGGCUAGCGUUGUUCGGAAUUACUGGGUGUAAGGCGCACGUAGGCGGACUGUUAAGUCGGGGGUGAAAUCCUGGGGCUCAACCUCAGAAUUGCCUCCGAUACUGGCAGUCUCGAGUGCGGGAGAGGUGAGUGGAAUUCCCAGUGUAGAGGUGAAAUUCGUAGAUAUUGGGAAGAACACCAGUGGCGAAGGCGGCUCACUGGCCCGUAACUGACGCUGAGGUGCGAAAGCGUGGGGAGCAAACAGG
rnacentral:rRNA from 1 species